rnacentral:lncRNA from 1 species
GUCCGAUCUGCAUCAGCAAUUCACUUCCCAGGAAGAAGGAAAAUAGAAAAGGGAGGAAAACACCAGAAUGUAUAUAAGGGGGAGGGAAAACCAAAAAUUCUGCUGCAAAUCCUCCCAACCACCACUGGGAUAACGCGUCCGCGGCGACUCCUCCGGCGGGGACGGGAGGGGGCGAGGUCCCUGGAGCAGCCCCUCGGCUCGGAGCACGCCGAGUCGUGCCGGAGGCGGCUUUCCCUUUCUCCUCCCGAGGUCCUUCUGUUUAAGGCUUUGCAGGUAGUCCUGUUCCCAGCGGAUUCGGGUGGAAACGCUUCAUUUCUGUCCCCGCUCCUCCCGGGGCCUGGCUGGCGGCGCGGCCGCGGCUGGAGAGCGGGCUGCGGCGCACGGCUACUCGGCCGCCCGAGCCCGCUCCAUGUCGGGGCGCCGCUCGGCCGGCCUGGGCCGCGCGGGCGCAGCGCCCGGGCUCCCCACACCCGCACCGCGGCCGCCCGCCGCGGCUCCCGACGCCCUGGCGCGGGGGGCGCCUCUCGGACUCAAAGGACACGGGCGGCGGCGGCGGCGGCGGCGCGGGCUCCGGCGGCUCCUUCUCCCCCUUCUUCACACCCCCGGGCUAAGGGCAUCUUUCCCCGGCGCGGAGGGAGGCGGCCGCGGCGCAGGAGGAGGGGUCGUGCGGCGGCGAGGAGCCGGAGGCUGCGGCAGCCCGGCUUGCAGCCACUCCCUUCCUCUGCCUCCCCCUCCCGCGCCCGCCCCGUCCUCUCGCGCUCGCGCCCUGGGCUUCGCGAGCUCCUCAGCCCCGCCGCUCGCGGGCGGAGGCUCGCCGCCGAGGCCACAGCCAAUAUGGCGGCGCCCGCCCCCCGCGCGAGCGCGCGCGGGCGCGCGCCACCUCCUGCCCCCGCGCGAGCGGCCGGCCGAGCCGGCUCGGGUCCCGCGGCCGCGCGGAGCGGAGCCGAGGCCCUGAGGGGGCGCGGGCGGCAGCACGCCGCACGCCGCGCGGGGAGGGUGGGCCCCGCCUCGGCCGGCGGGGCUGCGGCGGCCGCAACGUGGAAUGCGGGGAUCCGGGAGGCCUGGCGGGCCGCGGCCGAGGAGGUGGGGCGGGCGGCGCGGGGCGCGGCUGGAAAGUGCGCCACCGCGGCGGCGCGGUCCCCGGGGCCCCGAGGACUCUGUCCGCAUCGCCGAACGGGGCUUCUUUCUCGUCCUCGGGGCCACCACCCGUGUGGCACGUUUGUUCAGGGCGCCCGGGGCAGACGGCUUUAG